rnacentral:rRNA from 1 species
ACCGGCUGCUAGCUCUCUACAAUUCUCCUAUUAAGCAGGGCUGCACCCGGCCAGUACCUGGAUGGGAGACCACAUGGGAAAGCUAGGUUGUUGCCGAAA